AGAGCCCUUCGCCAGGUGACAGGGCUGAGGCCGCUGGGGUCUGGGAUCCUGGAGGGCUCCAGGUUCUCAAUCGCACACCUCUGCCCCAACCUGACAGCUAUCUUUGGGUGCCAAGCUGAGACUGUGGGUCGGUAAAGGUGGGCCUGAGGAGAAAAGGACACAAGACCUGUCUUCAGGGACUCCCACUCUGAUAGACAAGACAGAUCUCCACACAGGGUGUGAAACUUUUGUGUGUCGGUGUGAGAACAGUUUGUACCAAAGUGGGCACAGAGCUUCAGGUCUGAUGUGGACUCCUGGAUCCUACUUGAGCAAACACUGAAUCUGAGAGGUAAAGUAGAGCCCACAUAAGGACCUCCACACAUUCCUACAUCCUACAAAAUGACAGCGAUGAGGGCAAAUGAGUCCUGGGUGGGGUGGAGGGCCCCACAGGCCUGGAGUGACAGGUGCUACAGUGGCCACCUCAGAGGUACAGGGGGCCCCCAGCAGAUAAGGCUUCCUGGAGAAGGCAAGCAUGGAUGGAAGGGGGUUUGGAAAGAGAGAGAACAGGGCAGGAGCUGGCUGGCAAGGGGGAGAAACAGGGAGAAGAGGCCUAACAUUUGCAAAGGGGAGUGGGCGCAGAGGGUGAAGGAAGGGCAAGGGUGCUGUCUGCACACGGAGGCACAGGCCCUCCCUGCAGCUGCACGGGUCUGGGGCCUUUGCUAGGCAACAGACAGAGAUGGCAGCCCAGAUAACCUGCCUCGUGAGGAGACAACAAGACAGAAGCCACAGGACCUAACCACUCACAAACAGGAAGUCAGAAGGCAGAGGAGGCCCGCCCUCGGGGGAGCAAGGCCUGGGGAGCCCCCAGGCCCCCCCUCUGUGUGACUACAGAGGAGGGAAACUGAACCCCUAGCAUCGCAGUAUGGGGCUAAGGACAACUGAAGUCAAGAGUCUCAAAUGCUGGAACCUUUGGUCACCCUCCCUGGAAGGGCUACUAAAGGAAGCAGGGUCUGAGAAAAGGAAGUGCCUCAAGAACCUAAGACAGUGCAUGGCCCUUGCAGACCUGAACCGGGCACCUAAGCAGGUGCCCUGGCUCCUUUCAGAGCCUCGGGGAGCACCAGUGGUGCUGAGAGGCCUCCCGAGGAGCGGAGUUGGCACCUUCUCCCCUCUGCCCCGUCUGCACUGCCCAGGCAUCCCACAGGUUCAACUUCACUGUCUCCUGCUCUCCUGGGCUCAGAUGCCAGCUCUGCUGGUCUGGUUCAGCUCUCCAGACCACAGUAUUCAAGGCCUUUUAAGCAGCAAGAUCAGGGUGUAGUAACCUGGCCUGAGUUGGGAAACUGGCCUGCGAGCCCAGAGAGAGGCACAAUGCAAGUGAAGGCCAACUUCGGAGUUUUGUCCAUAGCAUCUGGGAAGAGGCAGGAUUGUCUGGCUAGGAAAUGGGGUGUGGGUGUGAGGAAGAAAGUCACCCUGACGACUAUUGUGGGAGUGAGCAUGAAACCAGAAGGCCACUGGGAUCUCCCAGGAACACAAGCAGAAAAGGCCCCCCGCCCCUGGCUCUCUCCAACAGAAGUGCUUGUAUUAACUUGCUGCUUCUGCUCUAGCUUUAACGGCUAUGAAUGAACUCUGUGUUUAUUGUAUGUGCGUGUCCCAAGAGCUGGGACCAGGCAAGGCGUCCCUGCCUGGAACCCGCUAUGCCUCUCAUCAGUCUAACUCCCUUCCCCAACAUCAGGACCACCAAACAGAAGGCAAAACAGGGAGACAGGAGACUAGGGGCCCAGCCCCCACACUGUGGCUUUUUACAGUAUAACUUCAGACCGUUCAGAGAAUCUGAUCCCCAACCCGCAGCUUUUGUUUCUUCACCUAUAAAACUGAGGAGGAGGUUGACCAAGGACCCGUUUGUUCUCAUCGGAAGUUCCCAAGAGCAAGAGGGCCCAGGAACCUUGGAAGAGGAAGCAGCAAGAGAUGAAGAACUGGAACUCCACGAAGUUCAAUUUCACCUUCCUGAAAACAAGCCAACAGUCUGCCUCCUGGUUCUGCCUCACUAAGGAACUCAGUUCAAAGUGCCCCCGAGAAGAACCAGCCCUCCGAGAGUCUCAGUGUUCCAGUGGAGUGUGAAGGUGCCAUAAUGGGGCUGCAGAUGGAGGUGGGAGGAGCCUCGCCUUUCUGAAGCAGAGAAACCAAAUGACUGAGCAAAAGACCAAGACCCUGGAUGGAUACGGGACCUCAGUGGUCAGAACGGGACUGAAGCUCUGACAGGCACAGUGAGAAGAGCGCAGCCCUCAUUGAGGGCAGCAGCGGGAGCAGCCGAGACCUCCUCUUCCACAUAGCCCUGUCCCCUCCGAGGGAGCUGUGAAGAACCAGCAGUCCCUCUUUCAGUUUCUUUGGGCUCCCGGCAGUGGAUAGACUCUAGCACCUUCUUGCCUGUCGGGCUGUUGAGCAGCUUCCAGGAUCACAAAAAAGCAAGAAAGCGAAUUGAGCAGCAGCUUCCAGGCAGAGCCCAUUUGACACUAGGUCUGUGAAAUCCGGUCCCCACGACUGGCCACCCCUCCCCCACAACCAUCAGGCCUGUGUCUUUCGCUUCCUGCAAGGCUAACAGUUAGGGCCUCAGCCCGCUGUAGGGCUGAGGCAGGCAGGCUGAGUGUGGUUAUUUGUGCACAGCUCCUCUUGCCUCCCCUCCCCACAACUGUUUCCAUUCUCACCGAGCAGCCACGUCCGGGUCAGACACGCAGGACAGCAGCUGGGGAUUUCCAAGGGACUUUUUUGAGAGAAGCCAGUGAAAGUUGGGUGUUGGCUGCACAGCCUAGGCACUCUUGCUGAAACCCACUUCUUCCCUCCAGAACAUAAGGCUGGCCUGGUGGGGCUACUUCCCAAGGAUCCUUUUAGAUGGGAAUUGAACAGAAACCACCACCCUUGAGCUCUUUCAGUUUGCUGGGCUGGAGAAAUCCUUUAAAAAUCCAGUUGAAAUGGGGGUUAAUGGACAAUUCCCUCAGAGCUUGAAGGCAUCAGCAGAAAACAGUUCUGGUCUGAGGAAGACCCAUGAGUGACAGGAGCCGCCUGAGCCACUCCCAGCUUCCUUCCCAUGGGCCUAUGAGAGGACAAGGACAGGGGUGGGAGGAGGUUCACUGGACAAUCAGCACCUCUCCCUCUUUUCCACACACUUCAGGGCCACAGGUAACAAGAGACACUGACUCACUAGCAACACCAGGUGGCUAGAGACACACAGCCUCUGUUCACAAGUCAAGAGCUCAUUCUGCAGCCGUGAUUCUAGACAUUUCUCCCACUAUUUGGCUGACUAUGCACAUACUGCACAUAUUUAAAAAUAGCUAAUAA